CCUUGCUCUUCCAACUGUCAUUCUGGUCCUGCCAGUCAACUUUAGAAUUCCAAAAUCCUCCAACUCCAUCUUAACAAGGGGAAGAAUAUUAUUAUUAGAAGGAGAGGAAGAGAGUGCUAAAAGUCCUAUGAUAACCCAGAUCUUCUCCAUUGUCAGAAUCAUGCCCAAAUUCAUACCUGUUGUAUUCUUCUGGAUCAGCACCUUCAGUUUGAUCUUCACAAUGAAGACCAUCAUAAGCCUCUUCCUCCUUUCCUUUGUCUUGACUGUCAACAGUCAGAAUGAAGCUAGAAAGUGGUUUGGUGAAGUUAUAAUGGGGAUUCCACAUUUAAAAGCAACAUCCAGAAAGAUGAUGCUGCGGGCCGAUGCUUCCAUUAAUCUGUUUAGUACACAAAUGGCAGGAACCUCGACUCCUAAGUUGGCUUUGCUUCUUGAUAACUCCUCUACAUAGCUUGUGAGCUUCUCCUGGAGUAACCCUUCUUCCUUGCUCCCCCAACCCACUAUUGCAUGUGUGCAAGGUGUAGCUGCUAACAUGUUUGCAUUUAAUAAACAUCAGUGCUGAACAUAAACUUUCUUAAUC
rnacentral:lncRNA from 1 species